GUGCAGCGCGCGGUAAUACCGGCAGCCCAAGUGAUGGCCGAUCUUAUUGGGCCUAAAGCGUCCGUAGCUGGCCGCGCAAGUCCAUCGGAAAAUCCACCCGCCCAACGGGUGGGCGUCCGGUGGAAACUGUUCGGCUUGGGGCCGGAGGACCCGAGGGGUACGUCCGGGGUAGGAGUGAAAUCCUGUAAUCCUGGACGGACCGCCGGUGGCGAAAGCGCCUCGGGAAGACGGACCCGACAGUGAGGGACGAAAGCUGGGAUCUCGAACCGGAUUAGAUACCCGGGUAGUCC
rnacentral:rRNA from 1 species